rnacentral:rRNA from 1 species
UGGGGAAUAUUGGGCAAUGGACGCAAGUCUGACCCAGCGACGCCGCGUGAGGGAUGAAGGCCUUCGGGUUGUAAACCUCUUUCAGUAGGGAAGAAGCGAAAGUGACGGUACCUACAAAAGAAGCACCGGCUAACUAUGUGCCAGCAGCCGCGGUAAUACAUAGGGUGCAGGCGUUAAUCGGAAUUACUGGGCGUAAAGCGUGCGCAGGCGGUUUCUUAAGUCAGAUGUGAAAUCCCCGGGCUUAACCAGGGAACUGCGUUUGAAACUGGGAGACUUGAGUGUGGCAGAGGGGGGCGGAAUUCCACGUGUAGCAGUGAAAUGCGUAGAUAUGUGGAGGAAUACCAAUGGCGAAGGCAGCCCCCUGGGAUAACACUGACGCUCAUGCACGAAAGCGUGGGGAGCAAACAGG